GUUAUGUAUUGUAUGAUUAUUCAAAAGGGUCUAUGUCAUACACCUAACCUUGCUUUGUGUUUAGGUUACUAAUGGCAGAUCGUAUCUGAUUUUUCAUGUGAAGAAAACGAAAUGUUUGUUUGUGUGAAGCAGAAAGAAUACGGUUUGUAUUUGCAUGAACAAAUUAAUUCAGUUUUCUUUCCGGUUUACUCAUGAUACCAGUCGGUUAUGUUUGGUACGUUUUGGUAUAGGUUUGGUUCGGUUUGGAUUUAGGAUUUGGCUUUAUGUUGAAGGAGGGAAGUUGGAGAGAGAGAGACAAGUCAAAGCAAGGCAACACACAUAUGUCUUAAAAAUAUUGAGAGUGUAGAUGAAAAGGAGCUGUUUGGUGGUUACAAGACAUAACUUUACCUCUAAAUAAAGUCUUUGAACAAAGACAUUGGAGCUUCAACCUCAAAAUUUACUUUUUGAGGACUAAUUGCAUCUCUAAUUUCUUGACAGGCCCUUUUUGUGGCAAGUUAUUAUAUCUAGCCCCCACCCAAACAAGAAGUCGUUUUUUUUGUAGUUUGUACUUUGUAGCGUUUUUUUUUGCCUUUCCUUUGUAAGUUUUGCGCCACGGUUCAGUUUCUACUAGUUAUGGGAACC
rnacentral:lncRNA from 1 species